GUCUCUCAUACAUGAACACAAGCACACAUUUACAAAUGAAUAUUGAGAGAAGGGAAAGCUAAGUGAAACAGGGAGAAAUAAUAACAGAAAAAUAAAAAUAAAAUAAAAAGGAGUUUGAGAGAUUAUACCCUCUUUUUGGGUCACGCCCUUAAAAGAGGUUUCAAUCCAUAGUUUCAUACCUUCUACACCCCAACUAAAUAGUCAAAAAAGAAACCCAUAGAAAUAUAAAAAUAAAAAUUUAAUUUUUUCUAAAAUUUUUUUGCAUCACUUAGUGAGUCCCAUGAGUGAGGCUCUUGCUUAGGAAGACCAUAGCCAGUGCACUAGAAAGAGUUAUUCAACAGGCCACCCACACUAACCAUCCCAUGCUUGGAGGCACACUCAUCCACAAAUGCAACAAAAAUGCCAAUGUCAAGGAUAUGAGAGAUGCAAGAGUGGUCUUUUUAAGGGCACCCCAUUUCUCAAAGGCCUCGGGCAUUGAGGAAUGCAAUAUCAAAAGGCAAUCAAGCAAGGCCAUGUCCAAGAAAGUCAGGACAAAGAAGAAAUUGAUCCAAGGCUUAUUACCUGCUUAUUACCUGCCCUAGAAGCUGCUAAAUGUGCAUUGUAGCCAAAGAAGGCUAGACCCACCACAAAAACCAUCACCAAGGAAAAAUUAAGUUGAGAAAACUUAAUUACUCUUGGGAUUGCCAACCUUUGAUCUUGAUUGUCCAUCGUCUUCCUCUCCUUUCCUUGAAUAUUAUCUUGUGUCAUUUUCUACAGUAUACUCCUUUUUUAUAUUACUCUUCCCUUGGUUCUACUGCAAUAUCUUGUGUUUGUUAUAGUGAUAUCUAACUUCUGCUUAAAACUUGUGGUGUAUGUUCC
rnacentral:lncRNA from 1 species